AAUUUCAGGUGGUUUUGAUACUGAUUUGGUAGAUUUGAUGUUUAUUUGUUCAUAUUUUGUUUAUUUAUAGGGUUUUGAUGGCCGAUUUGGAGGAUUUGAUGGUUAUUUAUUCAUGUUUUCUUGAUUUUUAGGGUUUUGACUGUCGAUUUGGAGGUUUUGGUGUUAACUACAAUAUUCGCUGGUGGCCCUUUGAUGAUGGACUAGCCAGUGUAUCUAGUAGAGAUAGGUUUUGGUAUAUACUUUCCUUUUCAUUAUCUUAUUCUUUAAUGGACGUUCCUCUCUUUUCACCAACAGUAAUUUGGUGGCUAGCUUUCCAUAUACAAAAAAAGAUCAGGUUGCAGAAUGCUUUACAGCGAACUACCCCUAUUCUGGGAAAGCAAAGAGAUCUUGAGAUGGUUGAGUGAUGAAGACGAGAAACUGAAAGCAACCAAUAAGCAAAAUACGCAUAUUUUAACAUUUCAUUAUCGAAGCUGAAAGGAGAUUACCUUUCUGGCAGUUGCCAUGUGACCUUGGUAAUAUUUUCUAGAGAAAUUCCCAUUUCUUUUUUUCUUUUCUUUUUUUUCUUCUUAUGCAGAUCUAGUUUGAUUUGGGAAUGGAUUGAGAAAAUACCAUCAUAGAAGAAGGAAAAAAAAUGACGGGUUCUGUUAU